UAUUGGACAAUGGGGGCAACCCUGAUCCAGCAAUGCCGCGUGUGUGAAGAAGGCCUUCGGGUUGUAAAGCACUUUCGAUGGGGAAGAAAAGCUCGGUGUUAAUACCGCCGAGUCUUGACGUUACCCAGAGAAGAAGCACCGGCUAACUCUGUGCCAGCAGCCGCGGUAAUACAGAGGGUGCAAGCGUUAAUCGGAAUUACUGGGCGUAAAGCGCACGUAGGUGGUUUGGUAAGUUGGAUGUGAAAUCCCCGGGCUCAACCUGGGAACUGCAUUCAAUACUGCCUGACUAGAGUAUGGUAGAGGGAAGCGGAAUUCCACAUGUAGCGGUGAAAUGCGUAGAUAUGUGGAGGAACAUCAAUGGCGAAGGCAGCUUCCUGGACUAAUACUGACACUGAGUGCGAAA
rnacentral:rRNA from 1 species